rnacentral:lncRNA from 1 species
AUGGCUUUUUGUCUGCCUUUGGUUGAGAGCCUGGAGUCUCCCUCCUCCCUUCACAGACAACAUGGCUGCCCUCCCUCCUCCCUUCACGGACAACAUGGCUGCCCUCCCUCCCGCUCCCCGUCCAGCUGGAGGCUACCACGUCAGCUGAUGACCUUUGUCAUCCCCCCGGUGCCUCCAGGGAGUUUUUCAGAGACUACGUGUUGGAGUUUCUGCAAGAACAAACUAUUAGAAACUCAGGCUCGGGCCCGCCUGGUCGGCGAACUGGAAAAUCUGAAGCGGGAUGCUCCUGGCUGGCCCCUGUGCUCGUCGUGAUCGAGGCAGAAGGAACAGCAAACACACAGGUCCUGCCUGGGUCGGGGGGCGUGGGGUACGGGAAGUGUCCACACAGGGGCCAGACACGGAGCGAAGGUCCCAGCAGUGCAGGGGGAGGCCCCAGCCAGGAUUAACCAGGAAGUCCCGUCCUGGACCAGGAGCCUAGAGAAGCUUCCAGGGCAUCCAGGCACCCCCUCCACCUCUCCCCAACCAUCAGAGAAACAGUGCCACACAGCCUCUGCAGUGCCCGUGUGACUAGCAGCAGCUUGGGG